rnacentral:RNase_P_RNA from 1 species
ACGUUCGGGUAGUCGCUGUAUGUCGCAAUUAAGCGGCGUGUAGAGGAAAGUCCAUGCUCGCACGAUCUGAGACGAUCGUAGUGUUCGUGCCUGAUGAAACAAUAAGUCAGGGUAGUCCAAUUGGGCUAACGGCGGGGAAACGGCCUAAGUUCUUAACGGAUAAGGCCCGAAUACUCUGAAAGUGCCACAGUGACGAAGUCUUAAUGGAAACAUUAAGAGUGGAACGAGGUAAACCCCACGAGCGAGAAACCCAAAUUAUGGUAGGGGAGCUUUCUCGAAGGAAUUGAACGGAGAGAAAGCCAGGCGGUGAGGACGCGUCUGGAGAUAGAUGAUUACCACCUGAGUACGAGGGGAGACCCGUUCGCAGUACGAUGGAACAGAACAUGGCUUACAGAA